AGCCUGCCCACUGAAGUUUUUUAAAUGGCCGCAGUAUACUAACUGUGCAAAGGUAGCAUAAUCAUUAGUCUUUUAAUUGAAGGCUGGUAUGAAUGGUUGGACGAGAUAUUAACUGUUUCAUAAAAAUUUAUAAUAGAAUUUUAUUUUUUAGUCAAAAAGCUAAAAUAUAUUUAAAAGACGAGAAGACCCUAUAAAUCUUUAUAUUUAGAUUAUUAUAAUUUUAUAGAUUUUUUUUGUUAUAAUAAUUGAUAAUAUUUUAUUGGGGUGAUAUUAAAAUUUAAUAAACUUUUAAUUGUUUAAAUCAUUAAUUUAUGAAUAAUUGAUCCGUUAUUAGCGAUUAAAAAAAUAAGUUACUUUAGGGAUAACAGCGUAAUUUUUUUGGAGAGUUCAUAUCGAUAAAAAAGAUUGCGACCUCGAUGUUGGAUUAAGAUAUAAUUUUAGGUGUAGCCGCUUAAAUUUUAAGUCUGUUCGACUUUUAAAUUCUUACAUGAUCUGAGUUCAAACCGGCGUAAGCCAGGUUGGUUUCUAUCUUUAAAAA
rnacentral:rRNA from 1 species